UCACUUCACUCAAAAAUUCCACAUGUUCCUAUCUCUUUAUCAUCUACUCUCUCUCUCUCUCUCUCUCUCUCUCUCUCUCCCUCCCUCCCUCCCUCCCUCCCUCCCUCCCUCCCUCCCUCUCUCUCUCUCAAGUUUGUCAUGUCCACAUAUCUUAUACAACGCCUAGAUACUACAAUAUUUCACACGCCUCCACUAGAGUGAGGUGUUCUUUACUAAGCAUUUACUCUUGGAUAUUCAAGAUAGAAAUUGUGAGGAGUAGGUGAAAAGAGAAAGUGCUCCAAAGGAGUGUGCGAAGAGAUACUUUGACUUGGUGGUGUUAAAUGAGUUUGGUGUAAACCAGUGAACAUGUCUUAGUAAAGAACAAGAGAAAACUUUAUCUUUGUUCACUAUUCACUAUUCACUUCACUAUUCACUUCACCUUUGUUCACUUUAUCUUUUAAAUAUAUAUGCAUGACUAUUGUUGUAAAUUUGUGAAAUAUUAUGUGAAUAUAUAUAUAUAUAGAGAGAGAGAGAAUACAUACAUGUGCAUAUACUUAUCUUUUUCAAUCUUCUUCUUGCAUCAAUGACAAGCUUAAAGGAAUCCCCAAGAACAUUGGUGCUGUCUUUUUGGUUGCAGUUCAAGGUGGAAAAACCCAACAAGGAUAAUUGUGUACCUUAUGGCGUCAUAAUGAUGUCUUAGGUAAGAUUUUCAAUGAUUCUUUGAUCAUAAGCAAUAUGAUUACAAAGCAUCUGCACCAGCAGAGAAGCCAUCUAGAAAAAUUUAUGAUUGUGACUUACAAAAGCGACGUCGUUUGGGAUUGGUAUAUAUCUAUUGAAGUUGAAGAUUGAAGAAUCAUUCAAUCCUCAACCCCAAUUGACACCAAUUUCAAAUGACGCCUCUUUUAUUAAUCACAAUCACAAACUUUUCUGAAGUUUAUCUUUAGAUGCAAAUGUUUGUAAUCCUAUUACUUAUGAUCAAAGAAUCAUUUAAAAUCCAACCUCAGACAUUGUUGUUAAGAUUCCACAAGGUAAGAAACUAUUCUUGUUGGAAUUGUAUGCCGCAGAUGCUGCUACCAAAACGACAUCAUCAAUGUUUCUUGGAGGAUUUCUACAAGCUUGGCGGUUGUGCAAGAAGAAUAUUGAAGAAGAAAGGUAUAUGUAUGGGUAUGUAUUGUUUCUCUUAUUUCGUUAUUUCAUAGAUUUACAACAUUAAUCAUGCAUAUAUCUAAAAGGUGAAGUGAACAAAUGUGAAGUGAUAAGUGAACGACAAUAACAAAGACACACAUGAAAUAUUAGUUCACCCCACUUUUAUAGUUCACUCCAAUAACAACGACAAUAACAACAUUAAUCAUGCAUUAUCUUUUUGUGCAGAUGAUAUAUGGUGGUUUCUAGCAUUUUAGAGGGCUAGAAUUCAUACAAGAACAAGUCCUGCAAAUCUGCUAUGGAAAAUUUCUCCUACCAUAUAUAUUUUAAGAUAAUGUUUUGUAUAGACAUAAUUCUUAUUGGUUUUAUUUGGUAGUUAUUCCUCUUUUGAUAUAUAUCCACACCAAUAUAUAAAAAGGAUAUAUCACUUUGGGUUUGAUAUAUAUCCACACCAAUAUAUAAAAAUGAUAUAUCAUUUUGGGUA